GUGCUCGCUUCGGCAGCACAUAUACUAAAAUUGGAACGAUACAGAGAAGAUUAGCAUGGCCCCUGCGUAAAGGCCAUGCUUAUUAUAAGCAAGUGUUCUUAUUUUU
rnacentral:snRNA from 2 species